rnacentral:lncRNA from 1 species
CAUGUUGUUUGGUAGCAACCCAGAUGCAUGCAAUGCAAUGGUGACGACGAAAACAACCUCUCUCUUUUUUUAAAUCAAAUCCUUAUCUUAAAAAAAGCAUAUGCUUCAUAUUUCUUUGUGGAGUUUUGCUCAAGGAGAACCAAUGCAAGAGUCGCCGUGAGAUGGAUUUGCAGAUUGCUGACAAAUUAUCCUAAGAUCACACCCCUUCUCAAGUGCGCCUAGUUUUUCCACUACCGAAGCAAGAAGAAUCCAAGGACACGACAGAGUUGGAGGUCCAUCGGAGAAAAACAUUAAAGAUCGUGACAUCGUAUUCGUAUGUACUCACUAGUCCACCAUGAUGGGACAAAGUGAGAGAGAAGAGAACUCAGCACUUGCCUCCAACGACGGAUUCACUAUCGGCACAACUUUCGUCGAGCAGCAACACAAGUCAGAGCACACCGUCGCAUGAAGUCACAUCAAUAGUUACAAUCCACCCGAAAUCUUUUUACAAUCUCCCGUGAAAAAAAAAGUUGCCCUGCAAGAAAAUCCAAUCCAAUCCGCCAAUUGUCUACUACUUAGAGACAUCCCUAUAUUAACUACUCCAUCCAUUUCAAACUAUGGGCCGUUUUAGCUUUUCUAGAUGGAUAAAAUUUUCUAUGUAUCUAGACAUGUUUGUAU